AACGAACGUUGGCGGCGUGGAUUAGGCAUGCAAGUCGGGGGAAUCCCAGCAAUGGGGGAACCGGCGUAAGGGGCAGUAAGGCAUGGGUACCUACCUUUGGGUUCGGGAUAGCCAUCAGAGAUGGUGGGUAAUACCGGAUGACGUCGUGAGACCAAAGAUUUAUCGCCCGAAGAGGGGCCCAUGUGAUAUUAGCUAGUUGGUGAGGUAAUGGCUCACCAAGGCAAAGAUGUCUAGCGGGGUGAGAGCACGACCCGCGCCACUCGCACUGAGACACUGGCGAGACACUACGGGUGGCUGCAGUCGAGGAUCUUCGGCAA
rnacentral:rRNA from 1 species